rnacentral:rRNA from 1 species
GGGUUGUGAGGUUAAGCGACUAAGCGUACACGGUGGAUGCCCUGGCAGUCAGAGGCGAUGAAGGACGUGCUAAUCUGCGAUAAGCGUCGGURAGGUGAUAUGAACCGUUAUAACCGGCGAUUUCCGAAUGGGGAAACCCAGUGUGWUUCGWCACACUAUCAUUAACUGAAUCCAUAGGUUAAUGAGGCGAACCGGGGGAACUGAAACAUCUAAGUACCCCGAGGAAAAGAAAUCAACCGAGAUUCCCCCAGUAGCGGCGAGCGAACGGGGAGGAGCCCAGAGCCUGAAUCAGUGUGUGUGUUAGUGGAAGCGUCUGGAAAGGCGCGCGAUACAGGGUGACAGCCCCGUACACAAAAAUGCACAUACUGUGAGCUCGAUGAGUAGGGCGGGACACGUGGUAUCCUGUCUGAAUAUGGGGGGACCAUCCUCCAAGGCUAAAUACUCCUGACUGACCGAUAGUGAACCAGUACCGUGAGGGAAAGGCGAAAAGAACCCCGGCGAGGGGAGUGAAAAAGAACCUGAAACCGUGUACGUACAAGCAGUGGGAGCCUCUUAAUGGGGUGACUGCGUACCUUUUGUAUAAUGGGUCAGCGACUUAUAUUCUGUAGCAAGGUUAACCGAAUAGGGGAGCCGAAGGGAAACCGAGUCUUAACUGGGCGUUAAGUUGCAGGGUAUAGACCCGAAACCCGGUGAUCUAGCYAUGGGCAGGUUGAAGGUUGGGUAACACUAACUGGAGGACCGAACCGACUAAUGUUGAAAAAUUAGCGGAUGACUUGUGGCUGGGGGUGAAAGGCCAAUCAAACCGGGAGAUAGCUGGUUCUCCCCGAAAGCUAUUUAGGUAGCGCCUCGUGAAUUCAUCUCCGGGGGUAGAGCACUGUUUCGGCAAGGGGGUCAUCCCGACUUACCAACCCGAUGCAAACUGCGAAUACCGGAGAAUGUUAUCACGGGAGACACACGGCGGGUGCUAACGUCCGUCGUGAAGAGGGAAACAACCCAGACCGCCAGCUAAGGUCCCAAAGUCAUGGUUAAGUGGGAAACGAUGUGGGAAGGCCCAGACAGCCAGGAUGUUGGCUUAGAAGCAGCCAUCAUUUAAAGAAAGCGUAAUAGCUCACUGGUCGAGUCGGCCUGCGCGGAAGAUGUAACGGGGCUAAACCAUGCACCGAAGCUGCGGCAGCGACGCUUAUGCGUUGUUGGGUAGGGGAGCGUUCUGUAAGCCUGUGAAGGUGGCCUGUGAGGGUUGCUGGAGGUAUCAGAAGUGCGAAUGCUGACAUAAGUAACGAUAAAGCGGGUGAAAAGCCCGCUCGCCGGAAGACCAAGGGUUCCUGUCCAACGUUAAUCGGGGCAGGGUGAGUCGACCCCUAAGGCGAGGCCGAAAGGCGUAGUCGAUGGGAAACAGGUUAAUAUUCCUGUACUUGGUGUUACUGCGAAGGGGGGACGGAGAAGGCUAUGUUGGCCGGGCGACGGUUGUCCCGGUUUAAGCGUGUAGGCUGGUUUUCCAGGCAAAUCCGGAAAAUCAAGGCUGAGGCGUGAUGACGAGGCACUACGGUGCUGAAGCGACAAAUGCCCUGCUUCCAGGAAAAGCCUCUAAGCAUCAGGUAACAUUAAAUCGUACCCCAAACCGACACAGGUGGUCAGGUAGAGAAUACCAAGGCGCUUGAGAGAACUCGGGUGAAGGAACUAGGCAAAAUGGUGCCGUAACUUCGGGAGAAGGCACGCUGAUAUGUAGGUGAAGCGACUUGCUCGUGGAGCUGAAAUCAGUCGAAGAUACCAGCUGGCUGCAACUGUUUAUUAAAAACACAGCACUGUGCAAACACGAAAGUGGACGUAUACGGUGUGACGCCUGCCCGGUGCCGGAAGGUUAAUUGAUGGGGUUAGCGGUAACGCGAAGCUCUUGAUCGAAGCCCCGGUAAACGGCGGCCGUAACUAUAACGGUCCUAAGGUAGCGAAAUUCCUUGUCGGGUAAGUUCCGACCUGCACGAAUGGCGUAAUGAUGGCCAGGCUGUCUCCACCCGAGACUCAGUGAAAUUGAACUCGCUGUGAAGAUGCAGUGUACCCGCGGCAAGACGGAAAGACCCCGUGAACCUUUACUAUAGCUUGACACUGAACAUUGAGCCUUGAUGUGUAGGAUAGGUGGGAGGCUUUGAAGUGUGGACGCCAGUCUGCAUGGAGCCGACCUUGAAAUACCACCCUUUAAUGUUUGAUGUUCUAACGUGGGCCCCUUACCGGGGUUGCGGACAGUGUCUGGUGGGUAGUUUGACUGGGGCGGUCUCCUCCUAAAGAGUAACGGAGGAGCACGAAGGUUGGCUAAUCCUGGUCGGACAUCAGGAGGUUAGUGCAAUGGCAUAAGCCAGCUUGACUGCGAGCGUGACGGCGCGAGCAGGUGCGAAAGCAGGUCAUAGUGAUCCGGUGGUUCUGAAUGGAAGGGCCAUCGCUCAACGGAUAAAAGGUACUCCGGGGAUAACAGGCUGAUACCGCCCAAGAGUUCAUAUCGACGGCGGUGUUUGGCACCUCGAUGUCGGCUCAUCACAUCCUGGGGCUGAAGUAGGUCCCAAGGGUAUGGCUGUUCGCCAUUUAAAGUGGUACGCGAGCUGGGUUUAGAACGUCGUGAGACAGUUCGGUCCCUAUCUGCCGUGGGCGCUGGAGAACUGAGGGGGGCUGCUCCUAGUACGAGAGGACCGGAGUGGACGCAUCACUGGUGUUCGGGUUGUCAUGCCAAUGGCACUGCCCGGUAGCUAAAUGCGGAAGAGAUAAGUGCUGAAAGCAUCUAAGCACGAAACUUGCCCCGAGAUGAGUUCUCCCUGACUCCUUGAGAGUCCUGAAGGAACGUUGAAGACGACGACGUUGAUAGGCCGGGUGUGUAAGCGCAGCGAUGCGUUGAGCUAACCGGUACUAAUGAACCGUGAGGCUUAACCUUACAACGCCGAAGGUGUUU